rnacentral:pre_miRNA from 1 species
AGGAGGAACAACCCCAGUGGCCGCAGCUCUGGAGCCCUGGAGUCAGCUCCCGCAGUAGAUCCGGAGCUCUCCGUCUGCAGGGCCUGGAGGCUCCGGGGCGGG